rnacentral:rRNA from 1 species
UGGGGAAUAUUGGACAAUGGACCACAAGUCUGAUCCAGCAAUUCUGUGUGCACGAUGACGUUUUUCGGAAUGUAAAGUGCUUUCAGUCGGGAAGAAGUCAGUGACGGUACCGACAGAAGAAGCGACGGCUAAAUACGUGCCAGCAGCCGCGGUAAUACGUAUGUCGCAAGCGUUAUCCGGAUUUAUUGGGCGUAAAGCGCGUCUAGGCGGCAAGGAAAGUCUGAUGUGAAAAUGCGGAGCUCAACUCCGUAUGGCGUUGGAAACUGCCUUACUAGAGUACUGGAGAGGUAGGCGGAACUACAAGUGUAGAGGUGAAAUUCGUAGAUAUUUGUAGGAAUGCCGAUGGGGAAGCCAGCCUACUGGACAGAUACUGACGCUAAAGCGCGAAAGCGUGGGUAGCAAACAAGAUUAGAUACCCUGGUAGUCCACGCUGUAAACGAUGAUUACUAGGUGUUGGGGGUCAAACCUCAGCGCCCAAGCUAACGCGAUAAGUAAUCCGCCUGGGGAGUACGUACGCAAGUAUG